rnacentral:rRNA from 1 species
UUCAGUCUCCGAGUUGUAAUUUGAAGUUGGUAUCUUUGGGUCUCCCUCUUGUCUAUGUUUCUUGGUUCAGAACGUCACAGAGGGUGAGAAUCCCGUGCGAUGAGAUGAUCCAGGCCUAUGUAAAGUUCCAACGAACUGUCGAGUUGUUUGGGAAUGCAGCUCUAAGUGGGUGGUAAAUUCCAUCUAAAGCUAAAUAUUGGCGAGAGACCGAUAGCGAACAAGUACAGUGAUGGAAAGAUGUUUUGAACUUUGAAAAGAGAGUGUUUAAGUACGUGAAAUUGUUGAAAGGGAAGGGCUUGAGAUCAGACUUGGUAUUUUGUAUGUUACUUCUUCGGGGGUGGCCUCUACAGUUUAUCGGGCCAGCAUCAGUUUGGGCGGUAGGAGAAUUGCGUUGGAAUGUGGCACGGCUUCGGUUGUGUGUUAUAGCCUUCGUCGAUACUGCCAGCCUAGACUGAGGACUGCGGUUUAUACCUAGGAUGUUGGCAUAAUGAUCUUAAGUCGCCCGUCUUGAAACACGGACCAAGGAGUCUAACGUCUAUGCGAGUGUUUGGGUGUAAAACCCGUACGCGUAAUGAAAGUGAACGUAGGUGGGGGCCCGUAUGGGUGCACCAUCGACCGAUCCUGAUGUCUUCGGAUGGAUUUGAGUAAGAGCAUAGCUGUUGGGACCCGAAAGAUGGUGAACUAUGCCUGAAUAGGGUGAAGCCAGAGGAAACUCUGGUGGAGGCUCGUAGCGGUUCUGACGUGCAAAUCGAUCGUCGAAUUUGGGUAUACCCCCGAAAGACUUUUCGAC